UUCCCUAGUACGGCGAGUGAAGCGGGAAGAGCUCAAAUUUGAAAUCUGGUAGCCUUCGGUUGCCCGAGUUGUAAUCUAGAGAAGUGUUUUCCGCGUUGGCCCAUGUACAAGUCCCUUGGAACAGGGCGUCAUAGAGGGUGAGAAUCCCGUCCUUGACAUGGACCCCCAAUGCUUUGUGAUACACUUUCAACGAGUCGAGUUGUUUGGGAAUGCAGCUCAAAAUGGGUGGUGAAUUCCAUCUAAAGCUAAAUAUUGGCGAGAGACCGAUAGCGAACAAGUACCGUGAGGGAAAGAUGAAAAGCACUUUGGAAAGAGAGUUAAACAGUACGUGAAAUUGUUGAAAGGGAAACGAUUGAAGUCAGUCAUGCUCUUUGGAUUAAGCCGUUCUGCGGUGUAUUUCAUUGAGCGGGGUCAACAUCAGUUUUGAUCGCUGGAAAAGGGCAGGAGGAAGGUAGCACUCUCGGGUGAACUUAUAGCCUCUUGUCGUAUACAGUGAUUGGGACUGAGGAACGCAGCAUGCCUUUUGGCCGGGAUUCGUCCACGUACAUGCUUAGGAUGUUGACAUAAUGGCUUUAAACGACCCGUCUUGAAACACGGACCC
rnacentral:rRNA from 1 species